GACAAGCAGAGUCCAUCUUUCAUUUCAAGCCUACAGGAAGAGUUUGAUACUCAAAGCAGCUCAUCUAAACUUUCAGCUGAGGUGACGACAGGCAGCCAUCUCAGGACCACAGAACAGGAUAAAGCAUAUUUGUGCCUUUCUCAUAUCUUCAGAAGAGGAAGUGCAGAUUAACAGGAACCUACUGCAUGUGAUCACUUACGACAUUUACUGUAGACUGUUUAGCUGCAGAGGACAACACAUCAGACUUUGCAGUAGGGAACUCUUUCAAUUGGGGUAUCAGAGCUUUCAAAGGUUUCACUCUGAAGAAUGGAAGAAUUUUACUUUAACUCACUGAACCAAAGCUUUGAUUACUGGAACAUCACCUCUGACUACUAUCCUUGCAUCGACUACACUGAGCUCGAUGACUAUAACAACAACCCUGAUUUCAUCCCGAAUGUGGUGACAUACGUAAUCGUUGCUGUCGGCCUUCCUCUGACCCUGGUGGCCAUCUAUGCUCUUUAUUCUAUGGUGAGAAGAGAUCAUGUUGCUCCCAUCUACCUCAUCAACCUCUCAUUACCGACCUGAUUCAGUUCUGCUGCAUGAUCGUUCAGGUGGCACACUGAGGAUGGAGGAUAUCUCAUCUUCUUUUAUAUUUACCUCACUUCUCUGAUUGCCAGUGUUGGCUUCAUGGUCUGCUCCCUGGAAAGGUAUUUGGUCAUCGCCCACCCACUGUGGUACCGCUUCAGACUAUCCAUCAAGACCUCUGUGGUGGUCUGUGUCCUGGUCUGGGUCCUUUCUGGUGUCUGUGGCGUCUGUUUCUAUGUCUUUGUUGAAAAUCUGGGGACAUACAUAAUGUUCGCCAUCCUCCUCCUCCUUCCCUUCCGCUGUUAAUAUUCUCCUGGUUGGGACCCUCAAAGCCCUGUCUGCUUCCAUCUCGGUCCCCUCUGAUGAAAAACGUCGAACUAUGGGAGUUUUGGUUCUGUUGCUGCUUAUUUACACCUGCUGUUCCUGCCCUUCAUGAUUUGGCACCUAAAACAAAAGUUGACGAGAACCUCACAACCUGUCUUUCAUGUUUCUUAGGUUCAGUCCUCUUGCAGACUUGUCCUGUAUGUCUUCAUGAGGAAAGGGUUCAUAGACAAGCUUUUGGCCUCUGUGUGUUGCUGCAGAAUGGACAGCAAUGAU